CUGGAAGGGAACUGUACUUUCCAGAUCUCUGGGGCACAACAUGGAGGGUUUCUGGACCUUAUUGUGCAAUAGUUAUGAGUGUUCAACUGAGUCUGGAAAUGAAUGCAGUUCUCGCGUUCUAGCCAUCAUCAAUCCGAAUUCAUGUAUACACAAUAUUGUCGUUAUUGCAAUUGAUAUGAUGCUCCUAAUCAUCUUGUUAUGUUAUCUCAUUCUUACAAUAGCAUCAAAGAAGAUUAUAGCAGCCUCACACCUUCUCUCCAGUGUCAAUUGUCUCAGUCAGUUUCAAUGCUGGCUUGGCUUUGGCCUACCUGGGGUUUGGAAUAUGGACAAUGAUUGAGAAAGUAAAUACAGAUCGCAUGGUUUUACCUGUACACGGGUGGUUAGUAUAUUUUUCUCAAGGGUUUACAUGGUUAGGUGUGGGACUUACCUUAAACCUCAAGAAACCGCAUAGUCCACAUGCCACGAUAAUGAAAUUCUUUGCGAUUUUUAGUUUCUUAAUUGCAUUGUUUGUUUGUGGUUCUGCUACUUGGGAAUGUGCACUAGAUGAGGAAGUAUCAGUUAAUAUUGUUUUGAACAUUCUUUGUUUCCCUGGAUCAAUUCUCUUGCUCUUUACUGCAUCUGAGGGAAACAGUUGCGCACAAGGUGAUCUGGAAGUCCAUUAUGGUGAUGCAUUCUACACACCUUUGCCUGGUGAAGAACCGAAAAUCACAGGUGCAAUCAGUUCAGAUGACAAUGUGACUCCUUUUGCGAAGGCUGGAUUGUUCAGUAAAAUGACAUUCUGGUGGUUGAAUCCAUUGAUGAAGAAAGGUAAGGAAAAGAUUCUUGAGAAUGAAGAUAUUCCACAAUUGCGAGAAGCUGAUCGAGCAAGAACGUUGCACUCAAUAUUUAGGGAGCAAUUGCAGAAAAGAAAGGAAAGACAUCCAUCCAGUGGUGACCCUUCUGUUCUGACCAUAAUUUUUUUCUGCCAGUGGAAAGCAAUUUUGGUUUCAGGGUUCUUUGCACUCCUCAAGAUUCUCGCAAUGACUGUCUCCCCACUGUUUCUCAUAGCUUUCAUCAAGGUUGUUGAUGCCAAUGCAGCUUCUAGAUAUGAGGUUUAUGCACUGACCGCUGGUCUGUUCUUUGUGAAAAUUGUGGAGUCACUGUCGGAGAGGCAAUGGUUCUUUAGAACUAGACUUAUUGGACUCCAGAUAAGAUCAUUGAUAUCUGCAGAAGUUUAUCAGAAGCAACUAAGACUCUCAAAUGCUGCCAAGAUGACUCAUUCUCCUGGUGAGAUGGUGAAUUAUGUAACAGUGGAUGCUUACAGGGUUGGUGAAUUUCCAUUCUGGUUGCAUCAGAUUUGGUCCACAACCCUCCAGUUGUGUCUCUCUUUGAUUAUUAUUUACUUCGCUGUUGGGGCAGCAACAGUUGCAGCUGUAACUGCUCUCAUAUUGACUGUGGUGGUAAGCUCUCCAUUGGCAAAGUUGCAGCAUGAAUAUCAAACAAAGUUCAUGAUUGCACAAAAGAAGAGGCUGAAGGCCAUGACGGAAGCACUAUCAAAUAUGAAGAUCUUGAAGCUGUAUUCUUGGGAGAAAAAUUUCAAGAAGGUCAUAGAAGAGCUUAGAGUAGAAGAACUCAAAUGGAUAUCUAAAGUAGUCUCACAAAAGGGUUAUUGUAAUGCUUUAUUCUGGACAGCACCUGUUUUGGCAGCAGCUGUCACCUUUUGGACAUGCUACUUGCUUGGAUUUGCACUCUCUCCAAGUAAUGUCUUCACUUUUUUAGCAACUUUGCGUAUUCUUCAGGAGCCAAUAAGGUUUAUCCCAGAUGUUUUGGGAGCAUUCAUUGAAGCACAGGUGUCCUUCUCUCAGAUUGUGAAGUUCCUUGAUGCACCAGAGUUGGAGAACAGACAUACAAGGAAAGUGAGCAGUGGCAAGGAGGUUGAACAUUCCAUUUUCAUUAGAUCUUCAGAAAUUUCAUGGGAUACUAGUCCUACAAAGCCUACAUUGAGGAACAUAGAUUUAGUGGUGAAACAAGGAGAAAAAGUAGCUAUUUGUGGAGAGGUUGGCUCAGGAAAAUCAACUCUUUUGGCUGCUAUUCUUGGAGAAGUUCCACAUAUCACUGGCAUUGUUCAAGUAUAUGGCACGAUAGCAUAUGUUUCUCAGUCUGCUUGGAUUGAAACAGGAACUAUACAAGAUAAUAUUCUGUUUGGGACUCCCAUGGAUCAUGUUAGAUACCAUGAAACUCUUAGGAAGUGUUCUCUUGUAAAGGACUUAGAUAUACUUCCAUUCCGAGAUCUCACUCAGAUAGGAGAAAGAGGUGUCAAUCUAAGUGGUGGCCAGAAGCAACGCAUCCAACUGGCACGUGCAUUGUAUCAAAAUGCAGAUGUCUACCUCUUGGAUGAUCCAUUCAGUGCGGUUGAUGCCCAUACAGCCACAAGCCUAUUUAAUGACUAUGUCAUGGGUGCUCUGGCAGAGAAGACAGUGUUGCUUGUGACACACCAAGUCGACUUCCUUCAAUCUUUUGAUUCAAUAUUGUUGAUGUCUUCAGGGACGAUUUCAGGAGCAGCUCCUUACGAAGAGUUGCUGGCUUUUUGUCAAGAAUUUCGAGAACCUGUUAAUGCACACAAUAAGAAUUUUGGUUCCCAGAGGCAAGUUGAAUAUGCCUCCACUAGAAAACAUAAAUCGUCUGCAGAGGAGAUUGAGAAUGUUAGAACUGACGUACAACUUAUAGAAUUUUCGGGAGAUCAAUUGAUUAAGAAAGAAGAGAGAGAAACAGGAGACACUGGGUUCAAGCCAUGCAUUCAGUAUUUGAAGCAUGGCAAGGGAUUCUUGCACUUCUCUUUAUCAGUUGUUUUCUUGUUUCUAUUCAUAGUUGGGCAGUUACUUCAAAACUUUUGGUUGGCUUUGAAUCUUCAGGAUUACAGCAUUUCCAGGGUCAAACUCUUCACAGUUUACUCUGUGAUCUUUUGUAUUAUGGCCUUCUGUAUGCUUCUUCGAUCUUUUAGGAUUGUCGAUUUAGGAUGUGGAGCAUCAGAAUCCAUUUUCUCCACCCUACUGAACUCCCUUUUCCGAGCACCAAUGCUGUUUUAUGAUUCAACACCUUUGGGGAGGAUACUUAGUCGGGUAUCUACUGAUAUGAAUAUCAUCGACCUUGAAGUAGCGCUAAGGUUAACAGUAGCUGUUGGAGCAACUCUGAACACAUUUAGCAUAUUCUUAGUCAUGGUUUUUCUUACUUGGCCACUACUAUUCCUGAUUGUACCUACAGUUUAUGUUACUUUUCGCCUUCAGAGUUACUACUUUGCAUCUUCAAAAGAGUUGAUGCGCAUGAAUGGCACGACUAAGUCUGCACUUGCAAGCCACCUUUCAGAAUCUAUUGCUGGAGCAGUGACAAUCAGAGCUUUUGGACAGGAGGAAAGAUUCUUCUCCAAAAACUUAGAAUUCAUUGAUGCAAAUUCUAGUGCUGACUUCAAUAGCUUCUCAACCAACGAGUGGUUAAUUGAACGUCUAGAAUUGCUUUGUGCUAUUGUUCUCUCAGCCUCAGCAUUUGCCAUUACUUCGAUUCAGUCCGGUGCUUCUUCAUCUGGAUUUAUUGGGAUGACACUAUCAUAUGGCCUUUCACUGAAUAUCUUUCUAGUACUUUUGGUCCAAUUUCAUUGCUUUUUAGCAAAUUCAAUCAUUUCUGUAGAAAGGGUAGAACAAUACAUGCACAUUCCUAGCGAAGCUGCAGAAGUGAUAAAAGACAACCGACCUGCACACAAUUGGCCUAUUGUUGGUAAAGUGGAAAUACAUGACUUAGAGGUAAGAUAUAGGCCAAAUUCUCCUUUGGUUCUCCAUGGGAUAAACUGCAUCAUUGAGGGAGGCCACAAAAUUGGAAUUGUUGGCCGGACUGGAAGUGGAAAGACAACUCUUAUCAGUGUUUUGUUUCGUCUGGUAGAGCCUACAGGGGGAAGGGUCAUCGUUGAUGGCUAUGACAUAUGCACAAUUGGCCUUUAUGAUUUAAGAUCACGUUUUGGGAUCAUCCCUCAAGAUCCGACAUUGUUUGGCGGGUCUGUGAGAUACAACCUCGAUCCCUUGGCAGAGCAUACCGAUCAUGAAAUAUGGGAGGUUCUUGAGAAAUGUCAGCUACGGGAGGCCAUUGGAGAGGAAGAAGGGGGCCUGGAUUCUUUAGUUGUGCAAGACGGAACAAACUGGAGCAUGGGACAACGACAACUGUUCUGCUUGGGGCGUGCUUUACUGAAGAAAAGCCGAAUUCUAGUGCUUGAUGAAGCCACAGCAUCAAUGGACAAUGCAACAGACUCUUUUCUCCAAAAAACUAUAAGAACAGAAUUUGCAGACUGCACUGUAAUAACAGUGGCACAUAGGAUACCCACCGUGAUGGACUGCACUAAGGUUCUCGCUCUUAGUGAUGGCAAAGUAGUAGAGUAUGAUGAGCCAAUGAAGCUGAUGAACAAUGAGGGAUCACUAUUCGGGCAGCUUGUUAAGGAAUACUGGUCUCGUUCUGCCAAUGCUAGCAUGCACUCAGAAGGCUGAUAGUGAAAGGUACUGGGGUGCUUUCGAUCACGUAGUAAAUAAAGCUCUGCCUGCUAGACUUGUUUCAUUUCCCUUGUGUAUUUUC